GCUUUUCAUAAAUCUGUUAUUUUAAUGCUUGGUUGCUUUUAAUUUAUUUAAUAGUUAAAGUUUCAGUCUAUUAUCGUGUGUAAAACAAUGUGCAGGUAGAAUGUGCCACAAGGUGGCAGUGUUCUCAGACAUUUCAUAGGACAUGCAAUAACAGAAUUUGAAAAAAAUUAUGCUAGACUACAUUUUUAUAUCAUGUGAAAAGUGACUGAAAGGCAGGCAGAUUUUUUGUGUAUUUUAUUUUAUUUUUAUCAUAUUUCAUAUAAAAAUGAAGGUUUCACUGGUGACAUAAAAAUGAAGGUUUCACUGGUGACACACUCACAGAGUUCAGGAAGUUCCUGAAUGUCUUUAUAACUGAACAGCAGAAAGCAUCAGUAACACACAGUCAGAGCACAGAGAGAAAUAACACACAACUGAUCUGAUCAUAUUCACUAUGAAAAAAUACAUGCUGCUGCUUUUCAUUAUGGCAUCAGAUGUGACGGCUGUGGACAAAAUUGAGCCAAAUAAAGGGAUGAGCUUCAUCAAAACAGAAGAAGAGUCUGUAACGCUGAGCUGCUCAUAUGAGUCAGACAGUGAAUAUGUACGUCUGUACUGGUACAGACAAUAUCCUAAUGGAGGACCUCAAUAUUUAUUAUAUGAAGGAGCACGAUCAAACAGUUUGAAGGACAGUUCUGAUCCUCGAUUCCAGUCAAGAAGUUCUCGCAUAUCGACUGAACUCAUCAUUAGUAGUGUGACUGUGUCAGAUUCAGCUCUCUACUACUGCGCUUUAAGAGUUGCAGCCCAGUGAUACAAAUCAUGAAACAAGUCGUACAAAAACUUCAAGCCAUUUUUUCCUUUGAAGUUAUUAUUAUGAAAACCAAAUCAAUAAUAACUGCAAACACCUGAGUGAGGUUGAGAGAAGGAAAUGUUUUAUAAAAAAAAAAAAAAAAGAAUGGGGUAAAAAUGCUUAAAAGGGUUUAGGUUUGCAGCUGUGUGUUACAGAAAUGCACUACACGUCAUUCAUGGUACAUUUGCAAAAAAACAUAGAGCUUGCCCAUAUUAUAUAAGAAUAUCGUCCCCUUGGAAUUAUAAGGUUCUACUACAUUUUUCUUCAAAAUUGAGUUAUUCCCAUAUUGUAUUCUGUGAUACCUUAUUUACAUUAUGUGAUAGAUUUUUUUUAUGUUGUAUACAUUAUGGGAUUUUUAUUUAAAAAUCAAUAAGGUUUUUAUCUACACAGUCAAAUGGAAUUGAAACACUUUGAAGCUCAAUAUCUCAAAACUACUUGGAAUGCAGACAGAAUGUCAUAAUUCCAAGGGGACGAUAUGUGUUUCAUGUAGCUAUGGUUUUUAUUUGACUGUGACAGACUGUCUGACAUUAAAAUAUGACUAAUGUUAAUUUAAACUUGUGUAACAAAAUCUACUAGGCACCCACUCAGCAGUAAUGAGUCAGGCCCCAAGAAAAACUAUUCCUACAAAAUAAAGCUUUUAUUUUGUCUUGAAGUGUCAAUAGAGGAGGGACUUAGAUCUGACAUGAUGUUGUUAUGUCUGACAGAGACUGCGGUAAAAGAUUCAUUCUGACUCUUCUC
rnacentral:lncRNA from 1 species